GGACAAGCAGCUGCAGUGAGACGGUGGACGUCUGACAACAACCAGCAGGCGCAUGUCAGGGAAGUCACAAAGGCAACAUUUCUGUGCUUAAAUCGAUGAAGUGAUUUACUUUUAGCAUUAUCAGUGCACAACCUUUUGUGUGUGUUUUUUUAAAACCCAACCACCUGAAAUUAUUGAUAUUGGACGUGUUUAGUCCAUGCUUACCGUGACGGCUCGUGUCUUGUGGAUUAUCCGUGGUGGCUGCCGAGACAGUCGCAUGGUUGUGGCCGGAGGAGGGCCCUCUGUGCCGGAUGGAUGUGCUUGAAGCAGCGGCGGAUUCCGACCACUUGUGAAGACUGUCGAAAUGAUGCCCAGGUCUCGUCGGCAGCGGGCGAACUCCUCUUGAAUGUUCGGGCUCUGUCGCCCCAACAUAAACCAUUUCCUCACACGGCAAACAUUUUAUUCCUUGAAAACUGGACGCCCCCGGAGCAGUUUAUGACGACCCUGGUAGGAGCGUGAUGAGCGCGCGCUUCCGCUUGCCUGCUGGCAGAUCCUACAAUGUCCGGGCGACGGAGCUGGAGCGAGACAGGCACCACACACAGGUUGUGUGCAACGUAUUGCUACUGGACAACACCGUCCAGGCUUUUAAAGUCAGCAAGUCAGAUCAUGGGCAGAUCUUGCAGGAUGCCGUCUUCAAGCACCUGGAGCUGACCGAAAGAGACUACUUUGGCCUGCACUUGGCAGAUGACUCCUCGGAUACCCCACGCUGGCUCGAUCCCAACAAGCCCAUCAGGAAGCAGUUAAAAAGAGGUUCCCCCCACAACUUGAGCUUCAGAGUCAAAUUUUUUGUGGCAGAUCCUAGUAAACUUCAGGAAGAAUACACACGGUACCAAUAUUUUCUUCAGAUUAAACAGGACAUAUUAACUGGAAGAUUGCCCUGUCCUCACAACACAGCCGCACUUUUGGCUUCCUAUGCUGUCCAAUCUGAAUUAGGGGACUACAAUGAGACGGAGCAUCCUCUAGGCUAUCUGUCUGACUAUUGCUUCAUCCCCAACCCCCCACAAGACUUCCAUAAAGAGGUUGCCAAACAUCACCAGCAGCACAGUGGUCUAUCUCCUGCCCAGUCGGAGUUUAAUUAUCUGAACACAGCACGCACGCUAGAGCUCUACGGGGUAGAGCUGCACUAUGCAAGAGACCAGAGCAACACAGAGAUACUUAUUGGGGUGAUGUCCGCUGGCAUUGUGAUUUAUAAGAACAGGGUACGGAUCAACUAUUUCCCAUGGUUGAAAAUAGUGAAAAUCUCCUUCAAGUGCAAACAGUUCUUCAUUCAGUUGAGAAGAGAGGCGACUGAGACCCGUGAGACACUGCUUGGUUUCAACAUGGUAAACUACCGGGCCUGCAAGAACCUGUGGAAGGCCUGCGUGGAACACCACACCUUCUUCAGACUGGAACGACCCAUCCCGCCACAGAAGAACUUCUUCUCCCAUUAUUUCAGCCUGGGUUCAAAGUUUAGAUACUGUGGGAGGACGGAGGUACAGUCUGUACAGUAUGGAAAGGAGAAAGGCAUCAAGGACAGAGUGUUUGCCAGAUCUCCCAGCAAGCCUCUGGCCAGGAAGCUGGUGGGCGGAACGGACUGGGAGACGGUGAGCAGGAACAGCCUAUCAGAUGAGAGACUGGAGACUCAGAGCCUACCCACCCGCUCACCGCCCGGAACACCCAACCAGAAUUCGCUGUUUACACAAGACGGCACGCGGCUACGCCCGUCGUCUGUCGGCCACCUGGUUGAUCAUGUGAUACACACAUCGCCCAGCCUGCCUGUCUUCUCCUCCAAUCACAAGUCGGCCUCCUCCACGCAAGCCAACAGUAUCAGCUUGGACUCCACACCGUCUCCCGAAGGCAUGGACGGCCAGCCUCCAGCUCUGCCCCCCAAGCAGCUGAGCAGGAAGACCUUGAGCCAGAUCAUCCAGGCCCACUCGCAGCAGAGUCUCUUGGACAACCACCUCAAUGAGAUGUACGAUGUUCCUGCCAACACUGACAAGACCACGCUAAACGGGGUUGUCCCUCAUGAUAAUCUGGUCUUGAUCAAAAUGAGACCUGAUGAACAUGGACGCUUUGGCUUCAACGUAAAGGGUGGAGCUGACCAGAAGAUGCCAAUCAUUGUGUCCAGAGUUGCUCCUGGAACAUCAGCUGAUCUGUGUGUACCCCGCCUGAAUGAGGGCGACCAGGUCGUCCUAAUCAAUGGGCGCGAUAUCUCUGACCACACCCAUGACCAGGUUGUAAUGUUCAUCAAGGCCAGCUGUGAGAGCCACUCUGGAGAACUUAUUCUGCUGGUCCGACCAAACGCCAUCUAUGAUGUGGUGGAGGAGAAGGUGGACUCUGAACCAGAUUUCCAGUACAUCCCAGAAAAGUCCCCUCAGGACCCCACUCAACUAGACCAGCAUGCUUUGAGGGACUCUAUGGUUGUCCUAAAGGAAGGUCUGAGCAGUGGAGCCAUACUGGCCCAGUUUGAUCAACUGUACAGGAAGCGGCCAGGGAUGACCAUGCUGUGUGCCAAAUUACCUCAGAACAUUUCCAAAAAUCGCUACAGAGACAUCUCCCCUUAUGAUGCCACACGGGUCAUUCUGAAAAGCACAGAUGACUACAUCAAUGCAAAUUACAUCAACAUGGAGAUUCCUGCCUCCAGUCUCAUCAACCGCUACAUAGCUUGCCAGGGCCCUUUGCCCAACACCUGUCCUGACUUCUGGCAAAUGACCUGGGAGCAGGGAUCAUCGAUGGUGGUCAUGCUGACGACACAGGUCGAGAGGGGACGGGUGAAGUGCCACCAGUACUGGCCCGGCCCAGACAGCACUGCCUCCUACGGAGACUUCACUGUCACGUGCCACAACGAGGAGGGCAACUCUGCCUUCCUGGUCCGGGAAAUGAGCCUCAUGCACUUAGAGAGUGAGCAGCAGAGAGAGCUAACCCAGAUCCAGUACGUGGCGUGGCCCGACCACGGUGUUCCUGAUGACUCCACCGACUUCUUGGACUUUGUGGCUCUGGUGCGGAGCAAAAGGACCGGGCAAGACCAGCCAAUGGUUGUACACUGCAGUGCCGGCAUUGGUCGGACCGGGGUUCUGAUCACCAUGGAAACAGCGUUGUGUUUGAUGGAGUGUGGCCAGCCAGUAUGCCCCCUAGACAUUGUGAGGACCAUGAGAGAUCAGAGAGCCAUGAUGAUCCAGACACCCAGUCAGUACCGCUUUGUGUGUGAGGCCAUCCUGAAGGUCUAUGAGGAGGGUCUGGUCAGACCGCUGACGCCCGCCGCCGUUUACCAUCUCCGAGAGAAGGCGGAGUGCGAUAGAGAGGAGGAGAACAAAGAAAUGGGAGACGACACGACGGAGGACGGGGAGGUGGCUGUGGUGGAACUGUUGGAAGGAGGUCUGGAUGAGGAGGAAGACGACGAUGACGAGGAGGUGGAGGUGCUCGACGUGGGGGAAGUGACUGAGGAGGAAGUGGAGGAGCCAAGCGUGGCGAGUGCCACCAGCGCUACGAGCGUGAACAGCGACACCAGCGUGAAUCCCGAUCCCGAUCCUGAUCCUGACCCAUGACAUUUUAGGGGAGCCAGUAAGAGGUCAAUGUGGCAGGAGGAGAGCGGAGGAGGAGGAGAGAACAAACGCACUGUUGCACUUUAUAACACAAACGGAACAAACAAAAAUGGACAAACGGGAAGGCUGGCUUUUCAAAGAGGCAAUCCAGCUGUGCUGCCUGACAGACGUCAUCAGUGUGCAGUGAAGAACAAAGCAGGUUUACGGUCGUUGAGGUGCGUGCUCACCGGGCUCCCCUUUUCGCAUCAAAUCAAAGUAAACAAUGCCCACCGACUACUGAACACGAGUCAACUAGGGAGGUGUUGUCUUCACGAGUGUCUUCAGGCGUUCAUGCAUCCUCCUGUAGUGCUGAAGUGCCCUUGAGCUAGCCCAAUCGCUUCCACCCAGAAGAAUAACCUUUGGCACGGCCAUCUAGAUAUGACUUUUAUCGGUAGGGAAAAAUGUGUCAUACUGCAAAUUCUUCAGCUCUUCAUUUUUAAAGCAUCCUUGUAGGCUUCACAUAUUUUUGAUGCCUUGGAACCAGCAGCCCAAACCACAUGCGACUCCUUAAUUGUCUUUAUAUGAGCUGGGAGAGUGGCACUCCAAUGAUGUCAUGGUACUUGCUUUACAGCUAGUGGGGGUGUCCUCCUCAUAAGUUACCAAUAUGGCAGAUACCCAUAUCAAUCCGAUAUGAUAAUCAUACACGCUCUUAUUUUGUUGUGUGGAAUGAUCUCUUUUUUUAUGAAUGGAAUGUUUUUGUAGUUAUGGCAUAGAAAAUCGCUUUACUAUCUUUAAAUACGUCUGGUAACAUUAUUAGAAACAUCUGGACAUGAAAUAACACCCAUAUCGUCACCUUUACACUCGCAUAAUCAGACAAAAUAAGUCGAUGGCGGACAGGAAGUGACGUUGGGGGUUCAGAGUUGAGUUUUAGCCUCUGCUGGGCUAUGGCCACAAUAAUAACCCAUGUUGGUAUUAUUAUUAUUAUUGUGCCAGUUGUGAGAUCAUUUAAACCUGCAAUACAAAUACAACCGUUGGUCAAGUCUGUUUCUUCAGUGGUUGUGUCACCGAACAAUUACACAGAAUACUACAUGCACAAGUUGGUGGUCUUAACAGCUUAUACUGUAGUUGUAUUUUAGUUCAUUUAGCUGUUUUUAUGUUUGAAAAUGAUUCAUAUUGGCAAAAAAUACUUACCGUUUGUUUAAAUGUUUUUUUUUCUAAUAAUUUAGGUCGUAGUUGCUAAUUAUUGUUUGGAACAACGCAAGAGUUAGGGAGCGUUGUUCGAACUGUCAUUUAGUGAGGGAUGACCGUAGUCGGCAGCACUAGCCAUGAGGAAACGCUCACAUUUCCCACACUUAGUGGAUGUCUCAGACAUAUCGAACUGAUGUCCCAUACCAAUAAUAAUGCAUUGUCUUUUCAUAUUAGUUAACAACAAAAACAUGCUACUGUUGUCCUGUUCAUAGCUGUAUGAUAUGUCAUGUUCCAUUAUUUCAUAUUCGUCACUUUGAUGACUAGAUAUGAACUGUUCACUGAAACUUAAGGCUUUUGUGUGAAAUUUCAGGAUGAAUCUCGACUUGAGUGCACCUUUUUACCUAAAUUUAGCACUUUCCAGCAUAAAAAUUGCAAAAAAUAAACUAAAAUAAUGGUAAAACAUUCAAAAAUGCUGUGUCAUAUGGAUAUGUACUGUAGUACUCAGCACUGGCCACUAGGUGUAAUGUUAAGUAAUGUUACUGUGAGACACAACAACCAACAGUCUACUGCAGGUUUGAAUCAUCUACAGGCACAAUAAUCCCGAACAUGGACUGCUGUUGUGGCCAUAACCCAAGCUAAAACUUCGGACCCCCGACGUUGCUUCCUGUCCCUGCACCCCCAGCACCAGAACACAUUUACAUCACUCAAGAGUAUGAGUCUUAUUUAUGUCUUAAAUGUUUCAUUUACUCUUAUUAAGUCUGCUAUAUUGGGUAAUACAAGUGUAAAUGUGACUAUAGGGGUGUUAUUUUGUGGCCAGAGGGCUCUAAUAUUGUUAAACAUACUUACAUACUCACAGCUAGGAGACCAGGGUUCAAUUCCACCCUCGGCCAUCUCUGUGUGGAGUUCGCAUGUUCUCCCUGUGCAUGCGUGGGUUUUCUCCGGGUACUCCGGUUUCCUCCCCCAUUCCAAAAACAUGCUAGGUUAAUUGGCCACUCCAAAUUGUCCAUAGGUAUGAAUGUGAGUGGGAAUGGUUGUUUGUCUAUAUGUGCCCUGUGAUUGGCUGGCGACCACUCCAGGGUGUACCCCGCCUCUUGCCCGAAGACAGCUGGGAUAGGCUCCAGCACCCCCCGCAACCCUCAUGAGGAUAAGCGGUAGAAAAUGAAUGAAUAUUUAGAAAGGCGUAAACAGGUUUUCUAUGCUAUUAAACUGCUAAAUGAUUUUAUUUAUAAGUGAUGCUACUUUGCGGACAUCCAUUUAUCACGGUUCAAGUUUGGAACCAAUUAGCCGUAAUACAGUACACUGCAUACGGACUAAACCGAUUGUGUUGCAUUUUAGGUUGAUCAUGAAAUUUCACACAGCUCUCUCUUAAGGUGUUGUGAGUAGUGUUUGUUUUUAAUCUUCCGUUUCCCCUAACCUCUCCUUCUUGUCCCAUUUGAUAUAUUUCGAGCUGUCUGUUUUACGCCUGCUUGUCCGUCAACUGGAAUGAUCAUUAGUGCCAUAAACCACCUCUGACCUAGUCCCGUUCCAUGUCUUAUGAACUUUUCCCUCGCAGACAUUUUUUUGGUCUCUCCUGGAAAAACUGGCUCCAAUGUACUUGUUUCAAACUGUGAUCGUCCCGCUUUUUUUAAAAAAUGUGUUCUAUUAAGAAGAUCCUGGUACUUUAUUGUUUACACUUCCUGUCAGUGACAUCAGCACAGGCACAUCUUAUCCAUCAUUCUCCUUGUCUUCCUCAAAUCAAACCACGCAUUGGGACGGUGGUACCGUACAUUUGUAUUGACAGUACACCCUUUUUCUUUGCAGCAGUUCAUCGGAUUUAAUUGUCUUAUUUCAGAUGAACAGGAGAUCAGCAGGAAAAAAAAUCAAACUGAAAACAUGUCCCCUGCAAUGAGCUGUAUACAGUAGAUGUUUUGUUCUUGACACAUUUAAGGUACUGAUCUAGAGGGGUUCCACAAUGGCCAAGGCUUGCUUUAUUUAGCUGUAUUUUUGCAAAGAUGACAACUUGUAGAAAAGGGCAGCACUUUGUAAAAUGCUGAGUGGCAGGUCGUGCUACUGAUUUUUUGUUUCAUCUAAUUUGGAUUUCUUUUUUUAAUAAGACACGUAAGGGUUAAAAGAUAACGUCUAACUACACAGUGCCACUUGUUCAUUUUGUGUACAUAAUGCUAGACCAUGUAAAUACAAUGUUGUAUAAUAAAAAAUCUUUAAAAUAAAAGGGAAAAUCCAUUGUGAGUAGAAGUAUUUUGUUGUUUUCCUCUGGAAGAUUCAAAUGUUACACGAAUGGUGUGUACUUUGAGACUGCUAUUUCAUUUUUGGUUGUUUUUUGUUUUUGUUUGAUAUGACACAGUAUACCGGCAAGUAUAUAUAUUAUGAAACACAAAACUAUUUUUUCCCCUUCUAUUUCUUUGGUAAAGCUCUUUCUGUGUCGUAAAAAACAACAAAAAACAUGUUUGUCCUCGGUUUUGCUUGUUUCUUGCUGGACUCGUGGUUUUACUGGUGCUUUGGACAUGUCUAUAA